AAGUCGUAACAAGGUUUCCGUAGGUGAACCUGCGGAAGGAUCAUUAACACGUAUCCAACGUUAAAACAACCCCCGUGAACUUUCAGCUUGCUCCUGUAGCCCGUGAAAACAGCAAUCCCUGGUAAAUCAUUGUUGACCAGCUUUUGAGUCAGGGACCUCUGCCGAUUGUGAUAUUUUAUAGCUACGGUUGAGCGAUUGCAUCUAGUGACCUGGCAUCCCCAAGUAAUCAGUGUCUGAAAGUGUCAUUGAUUAUGUAAGGAUGGCGCAGUCAGCCGCGCGUGAAAUUCGCACGGCACCAAAAACCGAACAACUGUUAACAAUGGAUAUCUUGGUUCUC
rnacentral:misc_RNA from 1 species